GAUGAACGCUAGCUACAGGCUUAACACAUGCAAGUCGAGGGGAAACGACAUCGAAAGCUUGCUUUUGAUGGGCGUCGACCGGCGCACGGGUGAGUAACGCGUAUCCAACCUGCCCACCACUUGGGGAUAACCUUGCGAAAGUAAGACUAAUACCCAAUGAUAUCUCUAGAAGACAUCUGAAGGAGAUUAAAGAUUUAUCGGUGAUGGAUGGGGAUGCGUCUGAUUAGCUUGUUGGCGGGGUAACGGCCCACCAAGGCGACGAUCAGUAGGGGUUCUGCGAGGAAGGUCCCCCACAUUGGAACUGAGACACGGUCCAAACUCCUACGGGAGGCAGCAGUGAGGAAUAUUGGUCAAUGGGCGAGAGCCUGAACCAGCCAAGUAGCGUGCAGGAUGACGGCCCUAUGGGUUGUAAACUGCUUUUAUAAGGGAAUAAAGUGAGCCUCGUGAGGCUUUUUGCAUGUACCUUAUGAAUAAGGACCGGCUAAUUCCGUGCCAGCAGCCGCCGCGG
rnacentral:rRNA from 1 species